AGGGCCAGACUGAUGACCAUUGGUGUCAUAUGAGUUGUGCAUCAUCAUUACAACCCUGGGUAUCUGAGAUCCAG